UUAACCGAAUAGGGGAGCCGGAGGGAAACCGAGUCUUAAUUGGGCGUUAAGUUGCAGGGUAUAGACCCGAAACCCGGUGAUCUAGCCAUGGGCAGGUUGAAGGUUGGGUAACACUAACUGGAGGACCGAACCGACUAAUGUUGAAAAAUUAGCGGAUGACCUGUGGCUGGGGGUGAAAGGCCAAUCAAACCGGGAGAUAGCUGGUUCUCCCCGAAAGCUAUUUAGGUAGCGCCUCGUGAAUUCAUCUCCGGGGGUAGAGCACUGUUUCGGCUAGGGGGCCAUCCCGGCUUACCAACCCGAUGCAAACUGCGAAUACCGGAGAAUGUUAUCACGGGAGACACACGGCGGGUGCUAACGUCCGUCGUGAAGAGGGAAACAACCCAGACCGCCAGCUAAGGUCCCAAAGUCAUGGUUAAGUGGGAAACGAUGUGGGAAGGCCCAGACAGCCAGGAUGUUGGCUUAGAAGCAGCCAUCAUUUAAAGAAAGCGUAAUAGCUCACUGGUCGAGUCGGCCUGCGCGGAAGAUGUAACGGGGCUAAACCAUGCACCGAAGCUGCGGCAGCGACGCUGAUGCGUUGUUGGGUAGGGGAGCGUUCUGUAAGCCUGUGAAGGUGGCCUGUGAGGGUUGCUGGAGGUAUCAGAAGUGCGAAUGCUGACAUAAGUAACGAUAAAGCGGGUGAAAAGCCCGCUCGCCGGAAGACCAAGGGUUCCUGUCCAACGUUAAUCGGGGCAGGGUGAGUCGACCCCUAAGGCGAGGCCGAAAGGCGUAGUCGAUGGGAAACGGGUUAAUAUUCCCGUACUUGGUGUUACUGCGAAGGGGGGACGGAGAAGGCUAUGUUGGCCGGGCGACGGUUGUCCCGGUUUAAGCGUGUAGGUGUGUGUUCCAGGUAAAUCCGGUU
rnacentral:rRNA from 1 species